AGAGAUGUCCAUACCACUUUGAACAAAUUCAAUCUUACCAGAUCUUAGAAACAAAGCAAGGUCAUUCCUGGUUUGUAUUUGGUUGGAAUUCUGCCUGGGAACUCUCAGAGCGGUUGUCUUUU
rnacentral:rRNA from 1 species